UAAGGAAGUUAUAUGUAUAUC
ensembl:piRNA 21ur-1674 ncRNA